rnacentral:rRNA from 1 species
ACUCAAAUGAAUAGACGGGGACCCGCACAAGCGGUGGAGCGUGUGGUUUAAUUCGAUGCUAAGCGGAGAACCUUACCAGGACUUGACAUCCCAGUCGUAUCCCUUGGAAACAAGGGAGUCAGUCUGCUGGACUGGUGACAGGUGCUGCAUGGUCGUCGUCAGCUCGUGUCGUGAGAUGUUGGGUUAAGUCCCGCAACGAGCGCAACCUCUGUCGUGUGUUGUAUUUUUCACACGAGACUGCCUCGGUUAACGAGGAGGAAGGUGGAGAUGACGUCAGAUCAGCAUGGCCCUUAUGUCCUGGGCGACACACGCGCUACAAUGGCCGGUACAAUGGGUUGCGAAUCCGCAAGGUGGAGCUAAUCCCAUCAAAGCCGGUCUCAGUUCGGAUUGGAGGCUGCAACUCGCCUCCAUGAAGCCGGAAUCGCUAGUAAACGCGGAUCAGCCAUGCCGCGUUGAAUACGUUCUCGGGUCUUGUACACACCGCCCGU